rfam:Heligmosomoides polygyrus genome assembly, scaffold: HPBE_scaffold0007745
AGCGUCUGUCUAGUAAACAGAAGGUCGCUGGUUCGAUUCCAGCAUGAGGCA